rnacentral:miRNA from 1 species
AGAUGCAUGUGUGCAUGUGCAUGUUCUCGUACAUGCACAUGCAUGUGGCAUGCACACAUUCUUACACAGAUAUACACACUGUCACAUAUAUGUUUG